UUUUUACCAGUUUCGAUAUAAAAGCCUGACUCGUCGUCAUCGGGGCAUCAAAAAGCAUAGCGACAACAGAAACACCGCCAACAUGAGCAUUCCGAAAAUAUCCGUGUUUAUGGCAAUGGCAAUAGUCGCCAUUUAUGGAGCGCCACUCGACAACUCGGAGCCCAUAGCGAUACUGCGACAGAGUCAGGAUGGUCCUAAUUCUGAUGGUUCUUACAGCUGGAUUUACGAAACUGCGAAUGGUAUACAAGCUCAAGAAGAAGGCAGCCUCGUAGCGUCGAAACAAUCGAACGAAGAUGCAUUAUCAGCAAAAGGCAGCUACAGUUAUACAUCUGAUGAUGGUACACCGAUCCAAAUAAGCUACACCGCGAAUGAAGACGGAUUUCAGCCUCAAGGUGUACAUUUGCCAACUUCUCCACCAAUUCCGGCUGCCAUUAUCAAAGCUCUCGAAUGGAUCGCUGCACAUCCCGAAGAAGACAAUCUUUAAAACUUUAAGACUUUAAAGAACUCAAUUCUAACUGUCAUUACGUUUCAUAUAUACUUUUUUCGUGGUCAGCAGAGGGAAACAAACGCCGUUUUAUCGUCGACUUUGUUCAAAGCUCUCGAUUUGCUACUCUACAAAUGUUAGAACCGGCCAGAUAAAAAGGAACGAAAAAGCCAAAUGGAAGCCGAAGAUGAAAAGAAGUCAAGCAUCAUUGUGACAGUGACUGGCUAUUCGAAUGGCGAAAGAAAAAUCUUAGCUAUGAGCAUUCACUGAAAAAGAUACAUUACAAUAAGCACUUGCGAUGAAAAAAAAAAUCAUUACGAAUUUUGAGCAACAAUGAACAAAUUUUUCUGCGAAUCGAACUUUUUUUUUGUCUAUUCAGAAAAGAUUCGAAGCACCAAUGAUCCUUUACUUGUUGAUAUUAAUGCCAACUGAUGUGAAAAAAUUGAUGAAAAAUAAAAAUUCAAAAUUU